rnacentral:misc_RNA from 1 species
GCUCAAUAGCCAAGUACCAUAUAAAAGAUACUAAAUCCGAAAUAUCAAAACAUCAUACAGACAAACAAGUCACUGAAAAGUUCUGAAGAAUAAAUUAAAAGACAGUAGAACAAAACAUGCUGAAAGAGUUGAGAAUGUUUCAUUCACGGGUAGGACAUUCCUAUUUGGCAACAGCAUCUAUGAACGCUCUUCCAGGCUGGCGAUUAGCAAGAGGGCCAUGGCAUCCAAGCAGCUUAGCAUUUACUCCAUCUGGGACUAUGCGGUUCAUACCUUUCCACAUAUUAUAGUCACUGCGGUUAUAUUUGGUAAAGCCCCACUUCCUGCUG